UUCGGGGUACACGAGCGGCGAACGGGUGAGUAACACGUGGGUGAUCUGCCUCGCACUCUGGGAUAAGCCUGGGAAACUGGGUCUAAUACCGGAUAUGACCUUACAUCGCAUGGUGUUUGGUGGAAAGAUUUAUCGGUGCGAGAUGGGCCCGCGGCCUAUCAGCUUGUUGGUGGGGUAAUGGCCUACCAAGGCGACGACGGGUAGCCGGCCUGAGAGGGCGACCGGCCACACUGGGACUGAGACACGGCCCAGACUCCUACGGGAGGCAGCAGUGGGGAAUAUUGCACAAUGGGCGAAAGCCUGAUGCAGCGACGCCGCGUGAGGGAUGACGGCCUUCGGGUUGUAAACCUCUUUCGACAGGGACGAAGCGCAAGUGACGGUACCUGUAGAAGAAGCACCGGCCAACUACGUGCCAGCAGCCGCGGUAAUACGUAGGGUGCGAGCGUUGUCCGGAAUUACUGGGCGUAAAGAGCUUGUAGGCGGCUUGUCGCGUCGAUCGUGAAAACUUGGGGCUCAACCCCAAGCUUGCGGUCGAUACGGGCAGGCUUGAGUACUUCAGGGGAGACUGGAAUUCCUGGUGUAGCGGUGAAAUGCGCAGAUAUCAGGAGGAACACCGGUGGCGAAGGCGGGUCUCUGGGAAGUAACUGACGCUGAGAAGCGAAAGCGUGGGUAGCGAACAGGAUUAGAUACCCUGGUAGUCCACGCCGUAAACGGUGGGUACUAGGUGUGGGUUUCCUUCCACGGGAUCCGUGCCGUAGCUAACGCAUUAAGUACCCCGCCUGGGGAGUACGGCCGCAAGGCUAAAACUCAAAGGAAUUGACGGGGGCCCGCACAAGCGGCGGAGCAUGUGGAUUAAUUCGAUGCAACGCGAAGAACCUUACCUGGGUUUGACAUACACCGGAAACCUGCAGAGAUGUAGGCCCCCUUGUGGUCGGUGUACAGGUGGUGCAUGGCUGUCGUCAGCUCGUGUCGUGAGAUGUUGGGUUAAGUCCCGCAACGAGCGCAACCCUUAUCUUAUGUUGCCAGCGCGUAAUGGCGGGGACUCGUGAGAGACUGCCGGGGUCAACUCGGAGGAAGGUGGGGACGACGUCAAGUCAUCAUGCCCCUUAUGUCCAGGGCUUCACACAUGCUACAAUGGCCGGUACAGAGGGCUGCGAUACCGUGAGGUGGAGCGAAUCCCUUAAAGCCGGUCUCAGUUCGGAUCGGGGUCUGCAACUCGACCCCGUGAAGUUGGAGUCGCUAGUAAUCGCAGAUCAGCAACGCUGCGGUGAAUACGUUCCCGGGCCUUGUACACACCGCCCGUCACGUCAUGAAAGUCGGUAACACCCGAAGCCGGUG
rnacentral:rRNA from 1 species